UACGAAGGGGGCUAGCGUUGUUCGGAUUUACUGGGCGUAAAGCGCACGUAGGCGGAUCGUUAAGUCGGGGGUGAAAUCCUGGAGCUCAACUCCAGAACUGCCUUCGAUACUGGCGAUCUUGAGUCCGGAAGAGGUGAGUGGAACUCCUAGUGUAGAGGUGGAAUUCGUAGAUAUUAGGAAGAACACCAGUGGCGAAGGCGGCUCACUGGUCCGGUACUGACGCUGAGGCACGAAAGCGUGGGGAGCAAGCAGG
rnacentral:rRNA from 1 species